GUGCUCGCUUUGGCAGCACAUAUACUAAAAAAAAUCAGAACAAUACAGGGAAGAUUAGCAUGGCCCCUGCACAAGGAUGUCACGCAAAUUCGUGAAGCUAUACAUACACAU